rnacentral:rRNA from 1 species
UACGAAGGGGGCUAGCGUUGUUCGGAAUUACUGGGCGUAAAGCGCACGUAGGCGGAUGUGCCAGUCAGGGGUGAAAUCCCGAGGCUCAACCUCGGAACUGCCUCCGAUACAGCACGUCUCGAGUCCGGAAGAGGUGAGUGGAAUUCCUAGUGUAGAGGUGAAAUUCGUAGAUAUUGGGAAGAACACCAGUGGCGAAGGCGGCUAACUGGUCCGGUACUGACGCUGAGGUGCGAAAGCGUGGGGAGCAAACAGG